rnacentral:tRNA from 1 species
GGAAGGAUGGCUGAGUGGUUUAAGGCGCACGCUUGGAAAGUGUGUAUACGGGAAACCGUAUCAUGGGUUCAAAUCCCAUUCCUUCCGCCA